UACGUAGGUGCCAAGCGUUGUCCGGAUUUACUGGGUGUAAAGGGCGCGUAGGCGGGAUAGCAAGUCAGUCGUGAAAUGCCGAGGCUUAACCUCGGAGCUGCGAUUGAAACUGUUAUUCUUGAGUGUCGGAGAGGCAAGUGGAAUUCCUGGUGUAGCGGUGAAAUGCGUAGAUAUCAGGAGGAACACCAGUGGCGAAGGCGGCUUGCUGGACGAUGACUGACGUUGAGGCUCGAAAGCGUGGGGAGCAAACAGG
rnacentral:rRNA from 1 species